AAUUUGACAAACUGUAGAAUGCAUUAGUAUUUGUUAGCGAUAAUCAUUAUACACACUUCAAAAAAAUAACACUGACUAUGUAUGAUCCCAAAAAUAUCAUUCUGCUUUUUACUCACAGCUCGAUUAAUUUGUUAUGGGCAUUUUUGUAUUAUUCCAUAAAAAGAUCCUCAUGUAUCGAUCUAAAAUGAAACCAGUUUUGAUCAUUUAUCAAUAAAUGAAAAAUUGGCACAGUCCUUACUAAAAACAUUUUAACGUGUACGUCUUCGCGAUUGCUGUGCUGAUGUCAACAAAUCAAAACAAGAAAAAUGUUAAAUCGCCUCAGAUCUAAACGAAAAGAUCAGAAAAAUUACAAAUUGUAAAGUGUCCAGUCUGAUCCGCGGGUGGAUAGUAGGCAUGUAGUAGGCUAUAAAACUAAUCGAAGUGACCGCAAAUACCUAAGGCUGCUACUUGGCUAUGCAUUGAGGAGCAGCAAGGGAAAAAGAUGUUCCGGAUCAUCGGAAAGCAGGCACCCAAAGUGCCACUUGUAAUGGAACCGUUUUCACUCUACCGUAUACUAAGCGCCGUGUGAAGAUAAUCUUCGAGAACGUCCCAAUGCUGCCGAACCGCUCGGAAACAGAAGUAACAAUCUCAGUACCGGUAAUGCUACGAACAUAAUGUUCCGUCCAAAGCACUAGCAUUAUUUAGAGUCUAAAAUGGCACUGGCAGUUGGUUACGGUGAUUACUAGGCCACGAACACCUUGGCUAUGCAUAGAGGAGCAGCAGUCCAAGUUUCGGACCAUCGAAAAGCAGGUGCCCAAAGUGCCACUUGUUAUGGAAAUCGUCUUCCCUCUACCGUAUACUAAGCCUGAACUUCAGCCCACAUUAAAGAAACAAGCGCUGUGUGACGUUAUCCAUCCCCGUGAACGUCCUUAUGUAUCCUCCUCAGCGCUCGGAAAGUGACAACCCACUGCUACUACGGAUGAAUGUAUAUUUCUGCGCUGUUAAUUAUUCGAGUAUUUUAAAACAUAUAAGAAUUUAACUAUAAAACAAAUAUGUGUACACAUCCGUAGGUGAUAAUACAAGUAAAGUUCAUUAUAUUUUAAACAAAAUGCAAAUAGAUAACAAUAAUUAAAAUAAACUUAUUAAUUAAUUAAUUUAUUUCAAAUAAGCAAAUGAAACAAGUGAUACGUGUGGUAAAAAUUAGCAUCAGAAUUCAGUCCUUAAGUGUAGAUAUUAAAUUUAAUUUGUUUCAUUAUUGCAUGAGCAACUGAAUUGGAUGUUUUAGUUGAAAUAAGAUUUGUCCACACGCAUUAAUUUGUUUCUUUGUUUCUCAUUAAAUGUACUAAGUCGUCAAAUAUUCUCUUAUGGGUCAACAACAACAGCACAGUAUGGUAGAAGGA